UGGGGAAUAUUGGACAAUGGGCGCAAGCCUGAUCCAGCAAUGCCGCGUGAGUGAUGAAGGCCUUAGGGUUGUAAAGCUCUUUCGGCGGGGACGAUGAUGACGGUACCCGCAGAAGAAGCCCCGGCUAACUUCGUGCCAGCAGCCGCGGUAAUACGAAGGGGGCGAGCGUUGUUCGGAAUUACUGGGCGUAAAGGGCGCGCAGGCGGUUCUUCAAGUCAGAUGUGAAAGCCCCGGGCUCAACCUGGGAAUUGCAUUUGGGACUGGAGAACUAGAGUUCGGGAGAGGUGGGUGGAAUUCCCAGUGUAGAGGUGAAAUUCGUAGAUAUUGGGAAGAACACCGGUGGCGAAGGCGGCUCACUGGACCGAUACUGACGCUGAGGCGCGAAAGCGUGGGGAGCAAA
rnacentral:rRNA from 1 species